rnacentral:misc_RNA from 1 species
GUCAAAUUCCAUUAAUUAUCUGUUAGUUACUUACUUGUGGACGUUGAUGGUGUCCCCAUGAUGGAACCAGUGAUACGAGGCCACGUUUCCGACAAGAACUAGGGUCAGUUGGCUACUUUACGUGUGUGUUGUCCGUGUUGGUACUCGUGAAUGAAAUCCGUAGAAAUUAUUUGAGUUACCGAAAAUAUCCUUAGGAAAAAUGAGAAAAG